GUUGAGGAGGAGCUCCGAGGAGGAGGAGCAGUGCCAGGCCCAGCAUAGCGCCACUCAACUGGAGGUCUACAAGGCAGAAAUGGUGCUGCUUCAGCAACGGGUUACUGAGCUUGAACGGCAGCUGGACGCCGCCGCUCGGCACCAGGUAACUGCCUUGGUCCUGGCACCAUCUGACUCAGGAUUGUCAAGCUCUUCUUGUCACUUCAUUCAGGAUCCAUGAAUGAAGUGCUCAGGUUGAUUGAGCGAGGCAGCGAAAAGAGAAGGGCAACUACUACUCUCCUCAAUGUCAAUUCAACCCGUUCACACACCGUCUUCACAAUCAUGAUCAAAAUCAAGGAGAAUACACUAGAAAAGACUGGCCUACUUCGUUUGGUGGACCUAGCUGGGUCAGAAAAAAUUGACCGGCAUGCAUCCAGGGAGACCAUUUGCAUUAAUGGGACCCUCUCCAAACUAGGACGCGUCAUCCUGUCGCUAGCUGCAGGGGCGUCACAAAUUAUGUUAUUGCAGCUGACAAGCGGUGCCGAAGAGGAAGACAGCAGUUUACACUUCAA